rnacentral:rRNA from 1 species
UACAGAGGGUGCGAGCGUUAAUCGGAAUUACUGGGCGUAAAGCGUGCGUAGGCGGUCAGGUAAGUCGGGUGUGAAAGCCCCGGGCUCAACCUGGGAAUUGCAUUCGAGACUGCGUGGCUAGGGUGCGGAAGAGGGAAGCGGAAUUUCCGGUGUAGCGGUGAAAUGCGUAGAUAUCGGGAGGAACACCGGUGGCGAAGGCGGGUCUCUGGGCCGAUACUGACGCUGAGGAGCGAAAGCAUGGGUAGCGAACAGG